AUUCAGCCAGGAGGGAGCGGAGGUGUCGGUCAGGCCUACGAGACCUCUUCCCGUGGCCGGGCCAGGCGGGCACCGUCUCCGUUCCGCCUGACGCAUUUCCUCCCGCACUGCGGACGCCGCAACCGGUCGAGAGUCGGCCAGGAGGUCGGGCGCCGGCAGGUGGCCGGUGGCGUCGCUUCGGCGUCGUCGCCGGUCGUUAGCCAGCCCGUCCGUGGCGCGACCCCCGACCGAGGUCCAAGCUUCCCGUUCGUCGGGAGGCACGCCGUCCCCUCUAUCGUCCGAGUGAGCGGGCAUGCCGGCAGGCGCUUGCCUUUGCGUCGACGCGUCACUCCUCGCAGUGGCCGGCGCGCACGGGUCGCCGUUGGUCGGGGMGUUCC
rnacentral:rRNA from 1 species